rnacentral:tRNA from 1 species
GCCGGGGUGGCGGAACUGGUAGACGCGCUGGAUUCAAAAUCCUGUGGAGGUGACUCCGUGCCGGUUCGAUUCCGGCCCUCGGUACCA